UUUUUUUUUUUUUUACAAAAAAAUCUACAAACUUCCUGAAAGACCUUGAGCUCAAAAAAUAAUUUAUCCAGCACAAACUUGUUCUCUGAAGCAAAAAUGAAGUUCAUAUCCAUAACAACUAACCAGAAAGAGUUGUAUUGUGUCAUACAGUACAAUAAAGCCCCUAAAGCUAUGUUUUGAAAGACAGGUUUUUUCCUAAGAAUCUAUUCAAAUUAAAAUCUAGUAAUAACAAUAGGUAAUUUCUAAGGUAAUAAUGGUGGUGGCAGUGGUGUUGGUAGUAGCAGUAAUAACGAUUUUAAAAUUAGCAUUUUACAGAAGGGAAGCAGAAGGUUAGAGAGGAUCAAUAACUUUCCAAAGGUUACUCAUGUAAGUAAAUAGUAAAUCUUGAUCUGCUGACUCCAGAGUAUAAGCUUUUAACGGCUAAGAUAAUGACUGAAACACUUAGAGUUUCAUAUGUUCCAUCAAAACAAAAGAAAAUGGGCUCAACUGAUUCUACCACUUCAUCUGAUUCUACUACUAGCUAUGUAAGUCACUUCAACGUAGUGAAAGCAUGUUAUUAAUUUUUGUAAUGUAUUAUACAAACAUUUAAAAAUUAAGUAUUUGCACUUGUAAAAUAAGGAGAUUGAACUAUCUUUUUUUUUCUUUUUUUUCUUUUAUUAUUAUACUUUAAGUUUUAGGGUACAUGUGCACAUUGUGCAGGUUAGUUACAUAUGUAUACAUGUGCCAUGCUGGUGCGCUGCACCCACUAACUCGUCAUCUAGCAUUACGUACAUCUCCCAAUGCUAUCCCUCCCCCCUCCCCCCACCCCACCACAGUCCCCAGAGUGUGAUGUUCCCCUUCCUGUGUCCAUGUGAUCUCAUUGUUCAAUUCCCACCUAUGAGUGAGAAUAUGCGGUGUUUGGUUUUUUGUUCUUGCGAUAGUUUACUGAGAAUGAUGAUUUCCAAUUUCAUCCACGUCCCUACAAAGGACAUGAACUCAUCAUUUUUUAUGGCUGCAUAGUAUUCCAUGGUGUAUAUGUGCCACAUAAAGUUCUUUUCUGCUUAGGCAUUCUAUUGUUCUAUUAUAUCAAUUACUUGGUAUCAUCUACCAAUCACACUGAGAAAUAUGAGAGCAGUCAAAAUAAUAAGCAGUAAGAUUUUGUACCAUUGGUAUGUUACUGUUUCAUUAUUAAGAAAUGACUCUCAUGUCUAAAUAUCUCCUGUUAUUCCACGUCUUCCACUCCACUCCCCAAUACCUUCAUUAGAGGCAGAACUUUCAAGUUCAAAUUACAGUUCUGACAUUUGAUAUCCUUAAUGGCUUCCAUCAACUCUAUUAAGUAUUUUUCUUGAUAUGUAUAGAAAAUAAUAUCUCUUCUCCUUUCCAGAAACUGUUUCCAAAGUACUUUGAGGAAAGGAGGAAAAAACACUGUGGUAGAGAAUGAUACAGCAUCAAACUACCUUCAUAUUCCACAUUUUUCAUUGCUGAAUAAAGAAAAUUCAUUAUUCUGAAGCUGUUAAGAGUAAAAUUGCUCAACUACAAAGAUAAUUAUUGUCAUCCUUCGCCUCAAAUUCACACACAAAGAUAAAUGAAGAGCAAAUAAAAAAGGUAAGUACUCUACAUUUUCAGAACCAUAAUAAUAUAAAGGAAAUGUAAAAUAAACUGAAUACAAUUUCUGCAUAAAGGCUAAAUUCCAUUACUACACGAGUUGCUGAAACAGCACAUUUUCAUAUAAAAUAAUUGUAACAGGUAGUGAAAAAUACACUGAAAUCUACUCAAAAGAAUACAAGUCACAUGGUAUCUAUACAGAUUCAAUAACUAACAGUGCAGUCUGCAUAAAGGACAACAGUUUCUCUUUCGCCAUCUCCCUGUUUUUUCUUUUCUCUUUACUGUUUUUAGGAUUAACUCAAUAGUAGAUUCAGCUACACCAGUAUUUUCAGAAGUUUCAGUGCCAAUGCCUUAAAAGGCAUGUAACAGCAGAAAGGUGAUGCCAAAGUGGUAGAGAGGGCACCACCACACAAUCUAUUUCUCAACUUGAUACCUCUGAUGUUGAUGACUUAAUAAUCACUGUCAUCAGACCAGCACCAUCUCAUUAUGCUUUCAGUGGCUACCCCGCACAUUUUAACAUGCAUAUCUGACUUAACAGUCUAAAGCAGCCGGGUGUGGUGGCCUGCACCAGUUGUCUCAGUUACUCGGGAGGCUGAGGCAGGAGGAUUGCUUGAGCCCAGGAGUUCAAGGCUGCAGUGAGCUAUGAUCACACCACUGCCCUCCAGCCUGGAAAACACAGCAAGGUCCUGUCUCUUAAAAACAAAAAGUCUAAAGUUCACCAGUUUCUCUCUCUUCCUUUCAAACAACAAAAGGACUAACAUUUCAACUAUCAACGUGCCUCUCCAGUUUUACAAGUUAUUGCUGCCCAGUAUUUCAGUUCUAAGGAUACAAUGUGUUUUUGGUAUUAUACACUGUGGGAUGAAUAUAUCAAGACAUGAAAGCCAUUUGCAGCAAAGACUGAACCAACCAACAUUUAAAUAAAAUCUGAGAACAAGGCCAUUUCUAAAAUAAGAUACAAAACCAGGUGAAAGGCCAGUAUUGCUCUGAGAAGAGACCAGGAGAAAAAGAAAACACUCGGCACUAAGAAUCAUUCUUGUGCCAAACUAUGAAGAGAGGAAAGCUAUAUAAGGAAAAUCCAUGAGCUUGGAGUUAAUGUUUAGUAUAACAAAAGUACAUUCAAUACACAUCAACCUAGAUAGCUACAAAAAUGGCUCUUUGGAAAAUAAAAAGCAAAAUUGAAAAAAAAAAAAAAAAAAAAGGUUCUACAAAGUUCACUUUCUCCCGUGUAUGGAGUUUUAUGAAGCCCUCAAGAUGGCAAAUAGAUUAAUAUAAAGUGGUCACUGAUUGCCUGGCCAUUUAUUCUUUCUGGCCCUGAAAUUUCACAGUGAAUCUUAACAUUUUGAAAGAACAGAGGAACUGCUAUUCUUUAGUUUGGGAAGAACUUAUUCAGCAUAAGACUGAUCAGCAACUUUCACUACACCCUUCCCAAACCACCCCCAACCUCCAUAUCACUUCUUUACUGUUAGUUUAGUAAAAGUUCAUUGACCUUAAGUGAACUCCCAGAAAACUAUUAAACUGGAUUUUAAAA